AGGGGUAUAGCUCAAGGGAUAAAGUGCAUGCUUAGCAUGCAUAGGGUCCUAGGUUCAAUCCCCAGUACCUCCU
rnacentral:tRNA from 1 species